GACGAACGCUGGCGGCGUGCUUAACACAUGCAAGUCGAACGGAAAGGCCCUGCUUUUGUUGGGUUCUCGAGUGGCGAACGGGUGAGUAACACGUGUGUAACCUGCCCUUGACUUUGUGAUAACUUCAGGAAACUGGGGCUAAUACCGGAUAUGAUCUCCUGCUGCAUGGUGUGGGUUGGAAAGUUUCGGCGGUUGGGGAUGGACUCGCGGCUUAUCAGCUUGUUGGUGGGGUAGUUGCUUACCAAGGCUUUGACGGGUAGCCGGCAUGAGAGGGUGAACGGGGACAUGGGGACUGAGAUACGGCGCAGACGGCUACGGGAGGCAGCAGUGGGGAAUAUUGCAGAAUGGGCGGAAGCGUGAUGCAGAAACGCCGCGUGCGGGAUGACGGCCUUCGGGUUGUAAACAGAUUUCGAAUGUGACGAAGAGUGAGUGACGGUAAUGGGUAAAGAAGCACCGGCUAACUACGUG
rnacentral:rRNA from 1 species